rfam:Camelus ferus unplaced genomic scaffold scaffold1842, whole genome shotgun sequence.
GAGGGCAUAGCUCAGUGGUAGAGUGCAUCCUUAGCAUGCAGGAGGCCCUGGGUUCAAUCCCCAGUACCUCCC